rnacentral:tRNA from 1 species
GCCCCCGUAGCUUAAUGGAUAAAGCAAGGGUUUUCUAAGCCCUUGAUGCGGGUUCGAUUCCUGCCGGGGGUACCA